CCUACGGGUGGCUGCAGUAAGGAAUAUUGGUCAAUGGGCGCAAGCCUGAACCAGCCAUCCCGCGUGCAGGAUGACUGCCCUAUGGGUUGUAAACUGCUUUUAUCUGGGAAUAAACCACUCUAUUUAUGGGGUGUUGAAGGUACCAGAAGAAUAAGCACCGGCUAACUCCGUGCCAGCAGCCGCGGUAAUACGGAGGGUGCAAGCGUUAUCCGGAAUCACUGGGUUUAAAGGGUGCGUAGGCGGCUGUAUAAGUCAGGGGUGAAAGGCUACAGCUUAACUGUGGAAUUGCCUUUGAUACUGUAUAGCUUGAAUAAGGAUGAGGUUGGCGGAAUGUGGCAUGUAGCGGUGAAAUGCAUAGAUAUGCCAUAGAACACCAAUUGCGAAGGCAGCUAACUGGACCUUUAUUGACGCUGAGGCACGAAAGCGUGGGGAUCAAACAGGAUUAGAUACCCCGGUAGUC
rnacentral:rRNA from 1 species